rnacentral:rRNA from 1 species
AACGGUAGCACAGAGAGCUUGCUCUCGGGUGACGAGUGGCGGACGGGUGAGUAAUGUCUGGGAAACUGCCCGAUGGAGGGGGAUAACUACUGGAAACGGUAGCUAAUACCGCAUAAUGUCGCAAGACCAAAGAGGGGGACCUUCGGGCCUCUUGCCAUCGGAUGUGCCCAGAUGGGAUUAGCUUGUAGGUGAGGUAACGGCUCACCUAGGCGACGAUCCCUAGCUGGUCUGAGAGGAUGACCAGCCACACUGGAACUGAGACACGGUCCAGACUCCUACGGGAGGCAGCAGUGGGGAAUAUUGCACAAUGGGCGCAAGCCUGAUGCAGCCAUGCCGCGUGUAUGAAGAAGGCCUUCGGGUUGUAAAGUACUUUCAGCGGGGAGGAAGGGAGUGAGGUUAAUAAGCUCAUUCAUUGACGUUACCCGCAGAAGAAGCACCGGCUAACUCCGUG